CUAGUACUCCUUCCGUCCCAAAAUAAGUGUCGUUGAUCUAGUAUAAAAUUUAUACUAACCUAGUACAAAUUUUACGACACUUAUUUUGGGACGGAGGGAGUAUAAU
rnacentral:pre_miRNA from 2 species